AGGUAGGGGUCCGUGAUUUCCUGCCGGGAUCAGACCGGGGCUUCUCUUCCCUUUCUCUCUGAGCGCCAUCUCUUUCCUUUUCUCCCUGUUUUGUUCUGAUUCUCGACGAUUUCUUGGCCCACGCAUAGGGAUUUCCCCCUCUAGAACCAGCGCAGGGGAAGGAAAGAUGGGUCCGGUCGAUCGGCGCAUGCGUCGUGCCUUUGCUGCCGCCGGCGCAGGGGAUGGGGGGAUGGCGCUCAGAUCUGGAACGAGCGCGCCUCCAUCCGCUCGUCCGGUCGAUCGGCGCGUGCCGUUGUUUCCGCCGGCGCAAUGAUCCCCUUGGAGCAAUGGAGGUGGUAGGCGGAGGGAAGGAUGGGUGUGGUGUUCAGAACCAAGCACCGGCGGGGAGAUGCGGCUGCAUAAGGUGCUGCGGGUGUCGUGGCGUAGGAAAACGGAGAAGAACCGGAAGAUCAAUGUGCUACACUGCGAAGAGUUGAGUCCCUGCGAAGGUAGAGGUGUUGCGGGCGUAUUUCCUUUCGCGCAGAUGGAAAAAGCUAAGCCGGGUAAGGGUGUUUUUGAUGUCCUGUAAGAGUUGCAGUUCAUUUAGCUAUAUAUUAUGAACAAAAGCUAUAUAUUAUGCAGUUCAUUUAGCCAGUGCUGCUUUAUGCUUACCUCGAUGGCUAGUGUGUUUUUCCGGCAUAUUUGUUCCACGGAAAGUAACUUGUUUGUCAAUUUGUUCUCCAUGAACUGAAUGGACCUUUCUAACUGUUGGAGCAUGUCAACAAGUACUUUGAUGUGACCUGAAUGCUACAAGAAAGAAGCAGUUGGUUAUGACAUUAUGUGUAGGAAGUAAUUUUUUGUUGAUAAUGUGCACUCAAAAAAACUGAGCUAAGAAUGUAUUACCUCUACGGCUGCAAUUUUUGCUGGAGAUUUGAUUUUCGUUUCAUGGUCAUCCUCACACUGAUUUAGCUCUCUGUCAUCAUCUUUUUCCUUCUCAUUGUCAGUACCGUACGGCAUGUGAUCAUUAGCAUAUGCAAAAGAUUGUUGUGCAUCUAUUUCUUCGUUGUCAGAAAGUAUGGGAUAGUCAUUUUCUAGUUCCUCAAAGGCAGUGUCUUCCUCAAUUCUCUGUUCAUUGAUAUAAAAGUCAUUUUCUCUGUCUUCAAAGCCAUGCGUGUCAUGCUCAUACCUCUGUUCAUCAUUCAAAAAGUCUGGAUGUUCUAUCUGUUCAAUAAUCUGUAUAACAUAUGGCAGCAAUUAGCAUAUGAUCUACUACUGCAACUAGUAUUUCUGUAUGUGCAGUAACUUACCAAUCCCCCCCCUUCAGCUGUUCUGCAGUCAUAUUUGUUUCUCAACCUGACAUUGGCUGCAUUCCAGAAUGAAAUCAGGGGAAUCUGACGUCCAUUGUAAUUGAUGUUGCAGAACUCAGAGUUUACUGCCUUCACAUGUUCCCAAUACCAACACUGAAUGCAAUGUAAAAAAUAAGCAUUUUGAGUACAAUAAGAAAAUAAAUUCAGCAUGUGAUAGGUUUGUAUAGUACCUGCAGUAAUGGAAGAUUGCCUUCAAUA